UUGGCAACACUUGCUUUGUUUGUAUAGCGUUUGUAGUAAACACGUUGUGUGAUGUAGGAAUUUAGAUUUGUUAAGACGAUUGUGAAUCCAAUUAUUUGUAUAACAACAAUAAAAUUUUCAAAAUUUUGGAAGGAGAUAUAUAUAGUAGAUUUAUUAAAGAUCGUUAUCAAAACACUCUUCGAGAAAUUGGACUAAAUUAGAUGAGACUGAAUUAGAUUUCAGAAAAUGGGAUCGGAACAUAGUCAUCAGUCUGCAAAUAGUUCACAAAGGAAUAACUCAAAUAAUAUCCCAGAUUCUAAUCAAGUCUUAAGAAGUUCUUCUCCUCGACCAUCUAUUAGUUCAGAUUCAGAUAUACCAUAUGUUUCGUAUACUGUAAAUAGACCAAUUGGAGUAAGUAAAUGUGUAUAAAAGAUGCCAGUCUAAGAUUGAUAUUAACAAGCUCUUCCACAUGAUCCAGUGCUCCCUUUCUAUGAGGUAUUGUCAAAGACUUUUAUGCACAGGAUAAGGAGUCUACAUCUUUAUAAUUAUGAAUUCCCUUCUCUUUGCUGCUUUAAACAUCUCAUGAAGCUCAGAGUUCUGAUGUGAUCAUUCUUGUAAACAAUUGAUUUAAAUGUUCAGUUUGUGAACCUGAAGGAAGAAUGCCUAUGAAUGAGGCUGAAAAUAUUAGUUUCAGUAAAAAGUGUUGCUGGAAAGAAAAAAGAUAUAUAUUUGUUUAUACUAGGUAUAAAUUUUUGUUUUAUCUAUCUGGUUAGAGUAUUCACUGAUAUCAUGUUCAAAAUGUUUAGUUAAAAUGCUUUAUAAAGUACAGUGAGUUUCAGAACAUAUUCAUUUUCAUCUAUUGCUGUUAAUCACUCAAAACUAUAAUGUGGCAAAUCACAUUUAGGAAAAUUGCUAUAUUAACCAAGUAGAAAUAAUGUGGGCCAAGAUUAAACCUGUUUGAUCUACUAGCUAUCAAUGAACAAUCUUGUUUUAUAUUAUAAUUUU
rnacentral:lncRNA from 1 species